UCACCAAAUGAGGCCCCUACUCUGC
rnacentral:piRNA from 1 species